AAUCAACGCUGGCGGCGUGCCUAACACAUGCAAGUCGCACGAGAAAGGGACUUCGGUCCUGAGUACAGUGGCGCACGGGUGAGUAACACGUGAAUAAUCUACCUCCGAGUGGGGAAUAACUGAGAGAAAUCUUAGCUAAUACCGCAUAACACUUACGAGUCAAAGCAGCAAUGCGCUUGGAGAGGAGUUCGCGGCAGAUUAGUUAGUUGGCAGGGUAAUGGCCUACCAAGACGAUGAUCUGUAUCCGGCCUGAGAGGGCGCACGGACACACUGGAACUGAAACACGGUCCAGACUCCUACGGGAGGCAGCAGUGGGGAAUUUUGCGCAAUGGGGGAAACCCUGACGCAGCAACGCCGCGUGGAGGAUGAAAUCCCUUGGGAUGUAAACUCCUUUCGAUCGGGAAGAUAAUGACGGUACCGAGAGAAGAAGCCCCGGCUAACUUCGUGCCAGCCG
rnacentral:rRNA from 1 species